GAUCAUGGCUCAGAUUGAACGCUGGCGGCAUGCUUUACACAUGCAAGUCGAACGGCAGCGCGGGGCAACCUGGCGGCGAGUGGCGAACGGGUGAGUAAUACAUCGGAACGUACCCAGAAGUGGGGGAUAACGUAGCGAAAGUUACGCUAAUACCGCAUACGUUCUACGGAAGAAAGUGGGGGAUCGCAAGACCUCAUGCUUUUGGAGCGGCCGAUGUCUGAUUAGCUAGUUGGUGAGGUAAAGGCUCACCAAGGCGACGAUCAGUAGCUGGUCUGAGAGGACGACCAGCCACACUGGGACUGAGACACGGCCCAGACUCCUACGGGAGGCAGCAGUGGGGAAUUUUGGACAAUGGGGGCAACCCUGAUCCAGCAAUGCCGCGUGAGUGAAGAAGGCCUUCGGGUUGUAAAGCUCUUUUGUCAGGGAAGAAAAGGCUGCGGCUAAUAUCCGCGGCUGAUGACGGUACCUGAAGAAUAAGCACCGGCUAACUACGUGCCAGCAGCCGCGGUAAUACGUAGGGUGCAAGCGUUAAUCGGAAUUACUGGGCGUAAAGCGUGCGCAGGCGGUUUUGUAAGUCUGUCGUGAAAUCCCCGGGCUUAACCUGGGAAUUGCGAUGGAGACUGCAAGGCUGGAGUCUGGCAGAGGGGGGUAGAAUUCCACGUGUAGCAGUGAAAUGCGUAGAGAUGUGGAGGAACACCGAUGGCGAAGGCAG
rnacentral:rRNA from 1 species